rnacentral:rRNA from 1 species
GACGAACGCUGGCGGCGUGCUUAACACAUGCAAGUCGAACGGAAAGGCCCUGCUUUUGUGGGGUGCUCGAGUGGCGAACGGGUGAGUAACACGUGAGUAACCUGCCCUUGACUUUGGGAUAACUUCAGGAAACUGGGGCUAAUACCGGAUAGGAGCUCCUGCUGCAUGGUGGGGGUUGGAAAGUUUCGGCGGUUGGGGAUGGACUCGCGGCUUAUCAGCUUGUUGGUGGGGUAGUGGCUUACCAAGGCUUUGACGGGUAGCCGGCCUGAGAGGGUGACCGGCCACAUUGGGACUGAGAUACGGCGCAGACUCCUACGGGAGGCAGCAGUGGAGAAUAUUGCACAAUGGGCGGAAGCCUGAUGCAGCAACGCCGCGUGCGGAAUGACGGCCUUCGGGUUGUAAACCGCUUUCGCCUGUGACGAAGCGUGAGUGACGGUAAUGGGUAAAGAAGCACCGGCUAACUACGUG